rnacentral:lncRNA from 1 species
GACAUUCCCCAGUAUACGUUAUUCUGCAACUCCUUUUUAGAUCUAAUUAUAUGUGACAAUAAAUUAAUGUGCUUCUCUCUCUGAAUUUCGCUUUCUCUCAAGACAUUGCACGGUCUUUGUAGUACAGUUUUUUUUUCCAGAAAAUACAUCGUGUAAAAACAUUUCCAAGGAAACCAAACAUACGGAGGUUGAGAUAUGACAUAAAAACAGAUGUACAUACUUAUGUUUAAUAUGCCUACAAAAAUACCCCCAUCCCCAAACCAAAAAAAAAAAAACAAGAAAAAAACAAUCGCACACAGGCUAAGACAUGACUGAAAUAUUGUGUUUUGUUAUUUAGUCAUGUAAAAUGAGGGGGGACCUUUAACGGGACUCUGGGGUCGGGUGUUUUUAAGCACGGGAUUUCGGGAUUGAUCCUUUCUGGAUCCGGCUAUUCUUUUCUCGAAUUUCGGGAUGACAGGAUUUAUAUUUCUAUAAAUUCGGGACUUCGGGAUUUCAUGUUUUAAAUUCGGGAUCAGGACCCCUGCCCCCUUUACAAAUGCAUAUCAUAAGAUUCUUUUCCUUUUUAAUUUUCUUUUGGCCUUGUGUUUUUGUCUGGUUGCUGUCUUAUUGAAGUACUAACUACUUACGGGAUUUACAUUUUACUUUAGUAGUCUGAAAGUCUGUGACACUGUGCAUAUUUUUCAGUAGGUAUAUAUAGUAGUAGUAUAAUAUAGAGAUGAUCGAUAUAAUCUCGUUCUCAACCUCAAGUUUUAU